rfam:Aedes albopictus isolate Foshan contig128597, whole genome shotgun sequence.
GACUCCGUAGCUUGGAGGAAUAGAAGCGCCCGUCUAGCAAAUUGGGAGUCGUGAGUUCGAGUCUCUCCGGAGUAC